rnacentral:misc_RNA from 1 species
GUAGGUGAACCUGCGGAAGGAUCAUUACUGAGAUUAGGGUCCUUCGGGGCCCGACCCUCCCACCCUUUGUGUAUUUACUUCUGUUGCUUCGGCGGAUCCCGGGGCCGCGGUGCUGGGCUCGCCCCGUACCGGCCUCGGUCCGCCAGGAGGCCUUUUCAAUUCUGCCAUCUCCAAUUGUUGUCUGAGCAAACGAGCGAAUACACUAAAACUUUCAACAACGGAUCUCUUGGUCCUG